GAAUACACAAAUAAGUAGUUUGUAUGUAUUUAACUUGCUGGAAAAGAUAUUUUGAAAAUUUUACUUUGCCAUGGUAUUUUGACCCCCUGCGGUAUACUGAACCCCCUACUCUAGGCCUUUAAUUUCCAAAAAUCUGGCAAUUCUAACUCUUUUAUGUAGUUAGAAUUUACCAAUAAGUAGUUUGUAUGUAUUUAACUUGCUGGAAAAGAUAUUUUGAAAAUUUUACUUUGCCAUGGUAUUUUGACCCCCUCCCCCUUUUUUUACCAUGGAAAAUCAAAACUGCCCUUAUACAUAUAUAUAUAUAUAUAUACACAUAUGUUAUAAUUACAAAUAAUUAAAGCAUUCAAGCUACAUAUGGUCUAGUUAUAAUGUGUCAAUAAGUUUUUUGAAUGACAUUUUGUUGGUAAAGACUUCAGAGCACUUAUACCAAGCAAAGAUAUUUCUUUUAAUUAAGCAUGGAAAAUGU
rnacentral:lncRNA from 1 species